GCGAGUUUCAAUUUUUCACAGUUAUCACCAUCGAUCAAACAGUCAGAAGCGACAGAGUGGCAGAUUUUUGGUCGGGGAGGGACAGAGAGCUAAGAACAGCUGUGGAAGAGUGGAAGCAACUAAAUCCCUUAGCCCAAAAUACGCACGGCACGGCUACCACCGGGUGAGCAGAAUGUGAGAAAAUUGCGUUCAGUUUCGCUCGAAAAGAAGACGAGAGAUGACUUCUUUAAGUGUAGCAGCAAACUGUCAACCAAAUUUAUUAUCUUAACCUUACACGUCCACUUAACGUUACCCACUGCUCUCCUUUCACCGAAAACAUUGGAAAGCAACGGCUUUGUGCGCCAAGGUUCAGCACAUGCAUACGCUGUUGAUCUGCACUGAUCACCACCACCCACGCCACGCCACAAACGCCAAAUGGGAUAAGCAAGAAGAACCACCUCACGGAUUAAUUGGCCGGAGCUUAUUCUGCCACACAAGGCCCCCAACGUCCGGAACAGCAAAGAGCAUUCAAGUCAGAUUGUUGAAAUCGCUUUUCUUGUACUAUUUUUCCACCUUUUAUAUUUUCGAACUGCAACAACAGCGGAACAAUCAACACAUGGCACACAAACCAAACGGGCCUCCCCCACCCCCAGUAAUGGUAGGAAAGUGGAUUGUAGACUUAUUUGUACAAUGCGCCAUGCAUGACAUCAGAGUAGGCGACACUCCGUUGCUGCUGCGUGAUUUCGUUGUGUUAGUGCAUUUGUCACCCGACGUUAGUGUAAUCAUUAACACAUAAAAGGUGCAAAUGCAAGGAUUGUACUGUCAUGUGACUCAAUCUUUUUUGGAAGAGGACAAGAAAUCGCUCGAUCGAAUAGAGAUGCAUUGCAAACAUGGUCGUUAUGUGUUUCUUACCACAUUCUUUUUUUUACGGUUUAAAACCGUAGAAGCCCCAUUCAGCUGGCUAUCAAUCAUCAAUCAAUCAUUGGUGUAACGGGUCAUUUUUUUUUUGUCAUCAGCAAAGGCAUUUUCGUUUCCCACCUUACAAAGCAGCAAAAUAUGAGGGAAAUGUAGCACAACCACAUCGAAUACCCCAACGUAAUGAUCAGAGUCUUGGUGUAACAAAGCGGCAAAACGAACGAUGUUGGAUAGGAGAGUAAAUGUGUUCACGUGUUUUAGGAUAAUAAACAGUAAGAUGGUCCACAGUGAAAGUUCAACAUUAUUAUGAACCAUUAUUGGAAAACCCUUUAUCGUCUACCAAUACUACCCUAAAAACAAUGUGAAUAUCCUUGAGCUCGGUUAACGUU